CCCGCCUCCCCUCGCGCGAGUCUUCGAUAACACGACCGAACGCUAUUUUCGUGCUGCGGGCGCGCGUUUAAUUUUUUUUUUCUAUCUACAUUUUACCUGUAUACAUCGUGUACGCCGCGGCACACGCGAAAUAAAUUCGCUCGCCAACUGCCUGCAUAAUACCGUAAGUAACGCUUUUGGCCGAAGUCGCCGUUCAAUUCCGGGCGGCCCGUGCCCUCCCCCUCCCCCUCCGUACUUUUCGUACCGUGAUUACUGUUGGGUCUGUCUGUUCGCCGUUGCCUAUUACCGCGUCGACCGGCACCGCGGUUGUUAGACAAAUAUUACACUGCAACUGCAACGGUUUUCGCAGCACGUAAAGGCGGCCGAUAAAGCCCGCGAGCCUCGAAUUUAAACGGCGGAUCGACACUUCAAUUUUUUAUCGCCAGUUUAGCAAUGUACACGGUUUGUCGUCUAUUGUAAUCUGCAGUGUGCCGCAGUUAUGGCAGGACGCCCCCGACCAUCGUUUCAAAUACCCCGUCACAAAACGCGCGGUCACUGUCGCAAACGUCCCUUGAAAAUUACUCCAUCGCUUCGUCGGCUGUGCGUGCCCGUGUAGUUUCCCGCUUCUCGUCGACGGUGACGUUUUUUCAUUGCCGCUGUACUGCCGGCCGACCAAUCGGGCGUAUCAGUGUUGGGACCGUGCGACGCGAACCACGGGUAUACGCGUAGGAGGAGGUGAUGCGCGCGUACCGAACGAUAACGCGACCGUGUACGUGAUAUUAUUAUCGAUUGUUUUGCCGUGCAUGUUCCCGUCCGGGUUACGCGUGCAGAUAUUUUUAUUGCCGGGUAAAUUAAAGCGUUUUAAUUUUAUUGGAAAGACCGAGGUCAACCUCUGCGCACAACAGCGUUUUUCCCGUACAUAUUAAACUCGCGUUUACGUGCGAGUAUACCCGACAUAUUAUUGUUGUGUACACUUUUCGUUUCGAUUCUAGCACACAAUAUUAUGCCCGCGUCAUAAUGGCAACACGUUAUAAUAGAGUGCGGCGAUAGGUUUCGUGUAGCUAGUUGUAGAAAUAAUAUUGCGUCGUCGUGACAACUGC